rnacentral:lncRNA from 1 species
GGCAGCCAUCACUUCCGUGCAGUCGCAAGCCUCUGCCGUUUGCUUCCACAGAGAUGUCCUGCCUGAUGGAGGCCUUGGAAGACAAGCGCGUGAGGUUGCAGCCCGAGUGCAAAAAGCGCCUGAAUGACCGAAUCGAGAUGUGGAGUUAUGCAGCCAAGGUGGCCCCAGCGGACGGCUUCUCUGAUCUUGCCAUGCAAGUGAUGACAUCCCCAUCAAAGAAUUACAUCCUGUCUGUGAUCAGCGGGAGCAUCUGCAUAUUGUUCCUGAUUGGCCUGAUGUGUGGACGGAUCACUAAGAGGGUGACACGAGAGCUGAAGGACAGGUAGAGCUGCCUGACCACCAGAGGAGCCUCCUGCCAGGCCCGCCCGCCUGUACAGCCGUCCUGUGUAGUGUACCCUCUCACUUCGCCCUUCUAACGGUGGCACCAGCACCCACAGUAGAGCAGCAUCAGGUGCCCACUGCAUCUUCCCAUCCAGACUUGGCCAUGUCCUCGGUGUCCUCCUCCUCCCAGCUGCCCUUGCAGCGGCGGCAGCUGGCUGCUUUGGUGGUAGCUUUUGUUGGCGAAGGUUUACCUGCCUGUAGACAAUUCUGUCACACCAACAGAACUGCUGGUACUUCAGAACCGACUCACCUGACCUGCAACUCAAAUUUUUUUUUUAAAAACAGAAAACAAAACAAAAGACAAAAAAAAUUUUAAAAAGGAAAAAGUGUAUAUAGUAGAACAUCUCCUUCAGUCUUGACUCGAGCAGUAGGAUUCUUUCUUUCACGUAAAUGCAGCAGGUGUCAGCAGAACUUGGAGGAGACGCGCAUAUCCGGUGCCUGAUCAUGAAAUGUCUAUUUCCUCUCCUAGAAGCAACUUGGGGCCACAGCAAGUAGUGGGGACAGACACUAAGCAGCCGCUCUAGGGCCUGUUGGCUUCUACUGCAUUGUGAUGCCUUCUGCCCUCUACCCCAGACAAGCCACUGCUCCCCACAAUCCCCUGACAACAGGCAUUUCUGUGAUCGCCCCAGUGCAGACAUGAGCCUUCUUCCUGGGUCUGGCAAUGGACUAGGGAGGGAGCAAAGUCUGAAGCAGCCCGAGUGCACAGCCAGCAGGGUCCCAGCCACCAUCUUCCUCCAGGAUGGACGGAGCUGCCUCGUCUUUAUGAACCCUGCCAAGUGUGGGGCUGCCCUGGGGGUUCUGUACAUCGGCAAGAAGUAGUUACAGUGCUAGGGUGUGGGGCUUCUGAGGUGAGGGUAAGGGUGGCAGGGCAGGAAGGGACAGGUGUGGGACUCACUUCACUUAGCUUCCUGAGCAACAGUACAGGCAGGAAGUGAUGGCUUCUGAAGAUUUGGCGUGGUCUCGGGUGUGUGACUGGCAUUGAAGCCUGACUUUCUAUCCGUGCCAGGCAGACUUCCCUGACAAGCUCCUUUGUGCCUCUAAAUGAAGGGAUGUGGAAAGGGGUUGCAUUAAAAGAUGGAGGAUUUUCUUCGUUCUUUUUUUUUCCCCUUUCUGUUCAUUUGCUGCGUGUACCCACUCUAAUAGGCACUGGAUAAAUGUUCUAUUUUGGUGACUUGACAACCUUCCAUAAUCUGAGAGAGCAGUGUCCCAGCCAUUUUCCCUCACUCCUCCAGUGUGAAGAUGGUGACAGUGCUGGGGCCUAAGAGCGAGGAGCCCAGGCACUGCAGUUCCCCUUCGGCGAGUUUGGGCCAUGGUGUCACAGUGGCUGUACAGAGGGUGGCAUGUACAGUAGGAGAUAUAUUUAUAUAAUAUAUAUUUUAUUAACCUGUUAGAUGUCCACAGAGUAUUAUAAAUCAUGUGCCUAAAACUGUCCACACAGACCCAGGCCCUCUGCGGUGCCCUCCCUGCUCCUGCCUUCCAUGUGCACCAGAGCCAUGCGCGUCUUCCUGAGGUGUUCGCUGCAGGCUGUGUCAGUUGCUCCAAGUUACUCUGUCUGACCUGACUACAUUCAUAGGAAUACUGUGGUUUUCUUCUCUGCUGCCUUUUCUGGUGGCAGUGAGUUCCAGGGCUAGCAGUUUGUCCCCUGCUUGGGUAAUGGAAGUCACCAUGGGGAACUGCUUGCUAAGCUACCUGGCCCCUAAGUCCUGCUUUAGAGUCUUCCUGGUUCUCAGCAGUUGUCCUGGGAUGCUCGAGGCUGGUGAGACUGAAAACCCCUGCUCUACAAGCAGCAUCCUCCACUGCUAACUGGCUGAGCCAAUCCAAAGGUCCCUCCCUCUCCCAGUGUCUGUGUCACAUGAUGUUUACCAUUGGACUGGGGUAGAAUCAUAGCUCUGAUCCCUGUAGCUUCCCUUCUGAUAUGUGCUUCUGCAAUCCACGCUGCCAGCAAUAGAUGUAGAGGUUUGGUGGGUUUGGUGAGUUUGNNNNNNNAAAUAUUUACCAUUCUAUGAAGCGCAAGGCCCUGGGUUCGGUCCCCAGCUCUGAAAAAAAAAAAAAAAAAA